CCACUAAUGCUUUGUAUGUUUCUGGACCUCACAGAUUUGUCACCAGGACUACAGAGAGCAUAGGAAGUCCUUCAAGGAAGCAACGCUGAAAUGAACAUUCCUAUCAUCUAAUCCUUGGGAACAUCUCAUACACUGACAAUCUCAGGGAGGAGACCUGGAAUACUGUCAUCUGGUAGCUGGGAAAACCUGCCAAAAGCAAUGUCAGCACGCAUCUGAGCCACCUUGCCUUGGGCAAAACCAGUUCCUGCAACCUGAACAUAGGUAUAUUUACUAAGCUUAGUGACAAUCUUUGAAGCCAUGCACACUGAUCAAGAAAAAAAAAAUCAUAAUUGUUCCCUGACAAAAAAUAAAGGUUCCAAGGGAAUCCAGAUGUCAGAGGUCUAAGCACAGUUAAAACUGGCCUCAGGUAGAUCAAAGGGCUAACUCCAGGGAAGAGUAGAAGCCAUUAUGGACACUGACUGAAACCAAAUAAACACACCAACCUUUGAGUAGCUG